ACUGGCAGGGAAGGUCCAAGGAUGGAGCCUUCGGGUGCUCACUUUUUCCUCUUGGGAGGCUGGGUGAGAGCCAGAACUCAUCUGUUAAUAAACAAUGUUCUUCAUAGAGAAAUGGCCUAAGCUUCUUAACUGAGCAGAAAUUCUAGGACGAAGCCCUUCCUGACUCCAAGUCCAGUGCUCUACUCAGGGUACCACCAGUCUCUUUGGUACCAGAAGAUGGGCCUAAAUAGUAGUGUUUCCAGAAAAUGAAGCACAAGACCCAUCCAACCAUGAGUCUGGUCCCCAGGGAGGUGACUCGCUCCCCAAGGAAGCCCAGAAGGAAGAGCUGCCCAUUGGUGAAGGUCUCCUGGCCAUAUUACUCCCACACUCACAUUCUCUCACACACACACACACACACACACACACACUCCAUAGUCAUUUUCUGUGCCUCAGCCUUCUUCAAAUGAAGGAUGAGGGAAAACCCAGCUUCCUAACAACCCAACAAAGGAGAAGUUAAUCAUUGAUGCUCUUGAAACAGAAAGGAAAGAACAAAGUCCACUCUUUCUAGAAAGGACCCUCUCCCAUUCUUUGUCCAGAGGCUUUGGGGGCAACAAAAGGAGGGGAAGAUGACAUGGAAGCACUGGAUGGAAGCACUGGAAGGAUGGCCCUCUCGGUCAGAACCGGAGAAGAGAUGUGUUGGAAAACAAAGGGAGAGGGCCAGAACUUGUGAUUUCAGUGUUGAGAAAUAGAGAUUCUGUAGCAGUGUCUGGCACCUAGCAGGAGAUAAAUCCAUGUUUAUUGACUGACUGACAAAAGAUAUUAGUAAAAAUUCUAAAGGAAGAAAAACAUUUUAAUCCCUUGAGCUUCACCCCAGAGCGGUUCUUUCUUUAGUAAUCUGUCUGCUAUGCCAAUAUGUACUGCCAAGCCUCUGCCAGGUGAGCUUCCUCUACUGUGGCUUCCAAGUUCAAAUUAUUUUAUGUAUUUAACACCUAGUCUAGACAAAGUGCCCUACAAGGCCACUUCCCUUAUGGAGGGCCCAGGUGCAUACACUAAAGCUAUGAUUCAUUGUAUCUAUAUUAGUAAAAACCAACCAAAAAAGGGGAUAGCUAGGUGACCAAUGGAUUGAGAGCCAGACCUAGAGGCAGGAGGUCCUGGGUUCAAAUGUGGCCUCAGAUACUUCCUAGCUAUGUAACCCUGGGAAAAUCACUUAACCCCCCCCCAUUGUCUAGCCCUUACUACCCUUCUGCCUUGGAAAUACUAUUGGUUCUAUGAUGGAAGGCAGAGGUUUAAAAAAAAUCAAUUUAAGAAAUGGGAAGGCAAUGUCUAUUUGUACUAUGACAACCCAGGUGUAGUUUCUAAGCAAAACUGGAAACUAAAAUUACUCCCCAAUUGGGCCUCAAUGUUUCCACUCAAAUAGAGUUCUUUCUCUUUCCCCUGCCUUUACAAAGAAAGGUGGAGGGAAAGAGGGAGGGGGCAUUCUUAUUUCUCUUCUUUGGAACCAAAUAUGGUCAUCAGCAUCAUCAAAGCUCACAUUUACUGAGUGCCCACUAUGUACCAGGCACUGAACUGUGCUAAACCCUUUCCAAGUGAGGUCCCAAGAAACCACAAAUUACUCUACUAAGAUAAAGUUGAAAAGUGUGUCCAGACCAUCACCAUCGAAAUCACUGUCUGGUGGUUUCCUAGCAUUCACAUUCAGGGGCCCAGAACCAAAACAAGUCUAAUCUUUUGUAACUGUAUCCAGGAAAUCAAAGUCUAAGAUCAUUUCAAAUCUGGGAAGGCAAAUCAAACGUUCAAGUUGACCGUGUUUUUCAGGAGUGAAGCAUUAGGAAAGAAAACCUCAUUUGGGAAAGUCAGCUUGGAGACCUUUUGGGCCCUUCCAGUAAAUGAUGCCUUGGUCUCCCUGCAACAGGCCCCUCCUCAAGUUCUACAAGCACCUCUCUCUUCCACGCCAAAGUCACUUCUUUUCAAAUUCCCAAUUCCAUCAAGUCUUCAAAGAUUCAGUGAUCCAAGAGAAAAAUCCUCAUCCAAGCUUAGCUCAGCAACUGACCAUCAGUCAGUUGGUCUGUCCCAGACUAAGCUGUCUGAAGAGAAAGAUCUAUUUCUCCUCCUUCAAAAGUUCCUACUGUUAUACUAUAUUAACUCCAUAAACAUCAACUGAUGGGUUGCAACAGCAGUAGUUUCAUUUUUUACCCAAUGGAAACACCUUUUCCCUGCUUUUUUUUUUAACCCUUACCUUCCAUCUUAGAAUCAAUUCUGAAUGUUGUUUCCAAGGCAAUAGAACAAUAAGGGAAGGGUUAAGUGGCUUAAGUGGCUUGUCCAGGCUCACACUGAAGGAAGCAUCUGUGGCCAGAUUUGAAACCAGGACUUCCCAUUUCUAGACCUGGCACUCUUUCCACUAGCAGCCACCUAGCUGCACCCUUUCUCUCGACUUUUAACUAAGACUUUAGAAGCUACCAAAGUAAAGGGAAUGUGAGAUGGAUUUGGGACGGCACUGUAGCCCAACAAAAGAUCCUGAGUUCUGUUGACUAGAAUCAGCUGGGAUUACCUGCCAAAAAGAAUUAGGUGCCAGGAGGACUCCAGAGUAGAGAGCAGCAUGGAGCGCUUCACUAUUUUUGGGUCCCAGACACCACAGGCCCAAAUCCUGCAUCACUAUUCACUAGUGGUAUAUGUGGCAUGGAGAAACAGUGCCACCUGGGAGUAAAUGUACUUCUCAAAGUCAAUACAAACAGAUGCAAAUCAAAGGAGACAAAAUUAUCUGGGAGAAAGUGGUUGGUCGUCAGUCCCCAAAGAUGUCAUUUAGGGAAUGUUUAGAAAGAAGCACAAGCCCAAAAAGGACUAUCAAAGGAAACAAAGAUUGUAAAGCACUUCACUCACAGCCUGGCACAGAGUAAACAGGACAAUUGCUGUUAGAAUGUCAUUCCCAGGUCUUUGGAUUGGUAUACAACUGUAGCUGCAACAGGCCUGAAAAACCACAGUCCCUACCACAAUGUGGAGAGUAGGGGGGCCAAGGGUGAAGGAAAAAGGGGGACCUAGAGGAAUGGGAAUCUUAGGUGCCUGCUAUCUCUGUGACCUUGGGGGUCACAGCCCAUCCAAGAUCUCCAGAUCAAAGGGCCAUCUGGUUCAAACCUGAGGCUUAAAAAAGUUAACUUGAUUGCUAGGGCUACCUAGGCAGCAAGUAUCAAGCAUCAAAGGAAAAGGAUCACUUUCCUCUUCUGGGUCUGUUUUCUCAUCCAUAAAAGAAGGGAACAGGACAGUUUCUUUCAAAGAUUCCUACCAGAGACAAGUCUCCUACUUUACAUAUGAAUAAGGUCAAGAGAAGAUCUCUCAGAUGAUUAGAGAGCAGCUAGCUCAGGGCUCUCACCCCAAGAAGGAAAAAAGAGAGACAAUCUUACAGAAGUUUCCAUCAGUCAAGUCGAGAUAAUAAAGCAAUAAAGUUUCAAGGGAUUCAUGGAAGCAGAUUAAGAGAGACUAUCAGAGGAGCUGGCCAUUGUACCAAGAAGAAAAAUGGUCUUCUAGGCAUUUUUAAAUGGUCAUCGACAGCUUGAGGUGGGCACCCACCAAAGACGAGAUGAUUGAAGUCAUCCUGUGUCAGGUUUUGACAUCUAGCAGAUUGGCUCAGCCAAGUCCUGCCCAUCAGAACCUCUUCAGAAAGAACUAGGUCAAUUUCAGAGGGCUAGUGAUAAGGGGACACCCAGAAGAUAUGGGGCAUCUAGAAGCAGGUGAUACCUUCCCCCUAGCAUGUUUGUUUCUCAAUCAAUAAGGAGCUAUGGGCCAAACCCUUCUGGGUAAGUCUUGUACUUCAGUGCUCUACUGGGAGAGUCAUAUCCCAGCCUCAGGCAAAGGACCUAGCCCAGGCAUGCAACUGUCACCUCCAAAAGCUUGUGUCUUCCGGCUCACAUUCCCACUGAGCUCCUUGCCCAGAGACUCCUGGGGAAGGUGUGUGGGGUUUCAGGCUUGCAAUGCUACAUGUCCCUCCCAUGCCUUAAUCUUUAGUGUAAUUUAGCAUCAGUUCCACAGGAAGUCACUGAGAUUUCUGACUAGGAAAGGACUAUAAGGAAUCAAGAGGAAGCUUGAGUCCUAAUUUAGAGAGGAGGGAGUCAGUUUUGCCAAUUUUUUUUCUUUAUGAAACUAAAAACAUAUCCCAAAAGUUUUCUUUCAUAAUAUCUAGCAACAAUAAUAGAAUUUGCCCACUCUACUUAGGAUCAACUUUUAUAUGUCAUUUUAUAUAUGUAUAUUGUCUUACUUGUUUCUCAUCUAUGAGGUAUUAUCCCCAAUUUACAGAGGACAGAAGGCAAACAGAAGUAAAGUGACUUGUCUAGGAUCAUACUGCUAUUAAGUGUAUGAGGAGGGAUUGGUCUUCCUGACUAAGAAGAGGAGCUCUAACCAGUACAACAUACCUACCUCUGUGCAAUCAAUAAAUAACUUUACAUCCAGUAAAGUUUAGUUAGUUGAGUUAGGAAGCCUUUGAUAUAAGUGAGACAUAUAUAUGAUUAACCUUUCCCUAAAGAAGGAUUUAGUGUAGUUAGAUCAUAGAAUUUUUCUCUGGAAGGAACCCUCAGCAUUAAAUAGUACAACCUCUUUGUCUUACAAACAGGAAACCAAGACUUAGGAAGGAUCUCAGAAUCAUCGAUUCUGAGGGGUUUUAAAAGCCAUAUGAGUCAACCCCCUCAGUUUAUAAAUGAGAACCCAGAAUUCCAAGCAAGUUGUGAAUUGCCCACAGUCACAAACAUAGUUAAUGUUAGAACCUGGACAGGAACCCACAUCUCCCAGUUCUGUGAUCUUUCCAAUCUACCAUUAUACCCCUCUUAUUUUUCCAUCUGGGAGAUUGGUUCUCUACCAGGUUUGAGUUCAAUGGACUGAAAUGAAAAAUAAACCAAGGGAUUCAAUGAUUUAUUUCCUAUAAUAAAUACUACCCCUUUCAUGUAAAAAAUAGCUUCACCUUCCUCAUGAAAAAUUACUGAGAAGUAGGGGCAGCUAGGUGGCUCAGAACCAGGAUGACCUUCCUACCUGGGUGACUGUGGACAAGUCACUUAACCCCCAUUGCCUAGCUCUUACCACUCUUCUGCCUUGGAGCUAAUACACAGCAUUGAUUCUAAGAUGGAAGGUAAAGGUUUAACAAAAUAAUGGAUCUAAGGUGAGAAACUCCUUCACACACACCUUCUUGAUUAUACUUAUAAUCACAAUCUGCUCUCUACCCUCCAGGUGUAGAUUUUGUCCCUCCAUGAAUGAUAUCACUACAAUAAUAUAAAGGUCUACCACAGGGAGGAAGGGGUUAUGGGAAAACAUGGAAUCUCUGUUGAAAGGGAGUCUUUUCCCUUGAGAAACUUUUCUUUUUCUUUUUCUACCCAUUGUCAUCCCCCUUUAGAAUGUGAGUUCCUUCUAGGUAGGGAUCACCUUUUUUUCUCUUCCCCUGCACAGGUCCCAGCACACAGAAAGCACUUACUAAGCGCUUUAUCUGUCUGUAUCCCUAUCAAAUUGUUCCUGAAGCAUGCCAUUUGCUCACCAACUCAUUCAUUUAAUAGAUUACUUAUUGAGCACCCACUAUGGGUAAGUGCUUGUGUGAGGUGAUAUGGAGAAUGCAGGAGUACAAACAUGAGCAAUAUUCAUAAUCCCUGACUCCAAGAAGCUUAUAGUCCCCUAUAAAUGCAGUAUUAUGCAAUUCCUUAUAACAAGGAAAGCCUGUCAAGAAAAGACAAAGAUUUCUGGAUCCUAAAGCACCUAAUCAAAAGUCUUGGAUCUAGAAAGACUCACAGCUUUUAGCUCUCAAAAAAAAAAACUCAGAAUAAUGACAAGAAAAUUCACUUUUUGGCUAUAUUAUUCUCUUUCCUAAAAGUAGCAUUAUAAUAGGGUCUUAGGGGAAGGUAGGUGGUUUACUAGAAGGAGAGCUAGUCCUGGAGACAGAAGGUCCUGGGCUCAAAUCUGGCCUCAGAUACUUCAUAGCUGUGUGACCCUGAGUAAGUUAUUUAACCCCCAAUGUCUAGCUCUUAUUGCUCUUCUGCCUUGGAACCAAUACUCAGUAUUGAUUCUAAGAUAGGUGAGGGUUUUUUAAAAAUAAAAAAAUAACAAUAGGCUCUUACUAAAACAUAAGCAGAUAGAUGAUGAAGUGGAAAGAGUCCCUGGCCUGGAGUCAGGAAGACCAGGGUUCAAAUCUGGCCUCAAAAACUAGCUGUGUGAUCCUGGACAAGUUACUUAACCUUAUUUGCCUUGGUUUCCUCAUCUGUAAAAUGAGCUGGAGAAAGAAAUAGCAAACCACCCCAGUAUCUUUGCCAAGAAAACCCCAAAUGAGGUCAUGAAGAGUCAGACAUGACAGAACCACAAGAAAUAUUUAAUGCCUUUCAAAAUUUUCAUGAGCAAGUAUUUUCCUGAGCAAAACAACUUCAAAUUCUCCCUCAAGUCGGGUCAUUCAAAUCUCCACCAUUUUCAAAAUGGAUUUGCAACAUCAUCUGAAAUAUUGCCAAUCUCCAUACUAAUGUAAUAUGUAUUGGAGCAAGGGUCAGGAUGGCUAGACAACCCAAUUACUACACAAGAAACAAGAACAGAAAUUCUAAUGGAAUGAAUGGGUUGGAGAGAGACAGAAAGAUGAGGGGAUAGAAAGGGAGAGGGGGGGGAGUGAGGGAGAGAGAGGAAAGGAAGAGAGAGGGAGAGGAAGAGACAGA